rnacentral:rRNA from 1 species
GCCUCAUGCCAUCAGAUGUGCCCAGAUGGGAUUAGCUGGUAGGUGGGGUAACGGCUCACCUAGGCGACGAUCCCUAGCUGGUCUGAGAGGAUGACCAGCCACACUGGAACUGAGACACGGUCCAGACUCCUACGGGAGGCAGCAGUGGGGAAUAUUGCACAAUGGGCGCAAGCCUGAUGCAGCCAUGCCGCGUGUGUGAAGAAGGCCUUCGGGUUGUAAAGCACUUUCAGCGGGGAGGAAGGCGAUAAGGUUAAUAACCUUGUCGAUUGACGUUACCCGCAGAAGAAGCACCGGCUAACUCCGUGCCAGCAGCCGCGGUAAUACGGAGGGUGCAAGCGUUAAUCGGAAUUACUGGGCGUAAAGCGCACGCAGGCGGUCUGUCAAGUCGGAUGUGAAAUCCCCGGGCUCAACCUGGGAACUAGCAUUCGAAACUGGCAGGCUAGAGUCUUGUAGAGGGRGGUAGAAUUCCAGGUGUAGCGGUCGAAAUGCGUAGAGAUCUAGGAGGAAUACCGGUGGCGAAGGCGGCCYCCUGGACGAAGACUGACGCUCAGGUAGCGAAAGCGUAGGGGAGCAAACAGGAUUAGAUACCCUGGUAGUCCACGCCGUAAACGAUGCCGAUUUGGAGGUUGUGCCCUUGAGGCGUGGCUUCCGGAGCUAACGCGUUAAAUCGACCGCCUGGGGAGUACGGCCGCAAGGUUAAAACUCAAAUGAAUUGACGGGGGCCCGCACAAGCGGUGGAGCAUGUCGGUUUAAUUUCGAUGCAACGCGAAGAACCUUACCUGGUCUUGACAUCCACAGAACCUGGCAGAGAUGCCCGGGGUGCCUUCGGGAACUGUGAGACAGGUGCUGCNUNGGCU